AUUGAACGCUGGCGGCAGGCCCAACACAUGCAAGUCGAACGGUAGCACAGAGAGCUUGCUCUCGGGUGACGAGUGGCGGACGGGUGAGUAAUGUCUGGGAAACUGCCCGAUGGAGGGGGAUAACUACUGGAAACGGUAGCUAAUACCGCAUAACGUCGCAAGACCAAAGUGGGAGACCUUCGGGCCUCACACCAUCGGAUGUGCCCAGAUGGGAUUAGCUAGUAGGUGGGGUAAUGGCUCACCUAGGCGACGAUCCCUAGCUGGUCUGAGAGGAUGACCAGCCACACUGGAACUGAGACACGGUCCAGACUCCUACGGGAGGCAGCAGUGGGGAAUAUUGCACAAUGGGCGCAAGCCUGAUGCAGCCAUGCCGCGUGUAUGAAGAAGGCCUUCGGGUUGUAAAGUACUUUCAGCGGGGAGGAAGGCGGUGAAGUUAAUAACUUCACCGAUUGACGUUACCCGCAGAAGAAGCACCGGCUAACUCCGUGCCAGCAGCCGCGGUAA
rnacentral:rRNA from 1 species